GGUAUUUUGAAGUAUAAAAUAAAAUAUCGGACCUGCCCAGUGACAAAAAUUUAACGGCCGCAGUAUUUUGACUGUGCAAAGGUAGCAUAAUCAAUUGUCUGUUAAUUGCAGGCUAGAAUGAAUGGUUGGAGUUAAUAGAACUUUUUUUAAAGCUUGAGAUGAAAUUAUAUUUUUAUUAAAAAUUUUAAAAUGGAGUAUUAAGACGAGAAGACCCUAUUAAGUUUCACAUUUAAAUUAAAUUUUAUAAUUAGAUUAUCUAUUUAAUGAUAUGUUUUGCUGGGGCGGUAAAAUUAAAUAUUAAAAACAUAGUUUAUAUAAAAAUGAUCCAUUAAAUAUGAUCUAAGGAUUAAAUUACUAUAGGGAUAACAGCGUAAUGUUAAUUAGAAGAUCUUAUUUAUAUUAAUGUUUGCGACCUCGAUGUUGGUCUAAGAUUCCUUUAAGGAGCAUAGUAUUUAAGAGGUGGUUUGUUCAGCCAUUAAAAUCUUAUG
rnacentral:rRNA from 1 species